GAGUGGGCACCACCUGAUCCCAUGCCGAACUCAGAAGUGAAACCACUUAGCGCCGAUGAUAGUGUGGGGUCUCCCCAUGUGAAAGUAGGU
rnacentral:rRNA from 1 species